AUUCUAAUUUGUGCUUUACGUGGUGUUGGGGGAGCAGUGGAGUGUAUCAGGGUCAGGAGGUACAGGGAUACCCAACCAGCAGGCUCUGACACUGAGAUGCAGCUACACUGUGACAACCUGGUGAUGUU